AUCAUCUACUCGGCGAGAGCUUUCCAUAGACACCAAGAACGCCGAAAUCCAUCGAGCGGUUUGUCCAAUUUUUGCUCGGGAAGUUUUUAGCCCAUUUUGACUUUUGGGCUAGAUUUCUCGAAAACCGUGAAUCCCACGAGAAAACCGAGGGUACCAGCACGCUCCACUCGUCGAGAGCUUCGCGGCGACAUAAAUUUCAAAUUUUUCCGACACCGUUUUUCGGUGGGUCCCACGGAACUUCGCAGUGUUUUUUCGAGCAUUUAAUGAGCUUAGAAAAUUCUGAAAAAUUUAUGUACUAACCCCCGUGUUAUGGGCUUCGUGUAGGUAUCCUCAAUUCGCGGAAAUUCGACAGUUGACCGGGUCUGCGAAAUUCCGGCCAGACAGACCCGUUACCGGAAAAGUCUCCGAAUUGCACCGAGGUUUUGGCUACCCCCCCAUUGUCAGACGACCCGAGCGCGUCCCCGAAGUCGGAAUCGGCAAAGGUGAGCCGGGACAGCCUUCUUCCUCCGCCCAGCCGCCUCAGUGACCAUCGUCAAGUCUGCCACAGGAGGAUAUUUUUGAGGUUAACCUGCUUCCUUUCCUCGCAGGUUGUUUAUCAAUAUUUGUGUAAUUUUAUUUACUCCUAGAAUUUCCGCAUGUGUUAGAAAUGUUUAUUUGAUUUGGGUUUGUAAACUAAAUUAUUAUUGUGGACCUGUAAAAUUAUUAUAUGCAUGUUUGAUGGACUGGAUGAGGGAGCUGAGCUCCCAUUUAUCAUUAUGAUGAUAUGAGUAUGUGGAGGGUGAGCUGAGCUCCCCAAUGGAUUGUUUAUUGUGUUUACAGGUCGGGUGAGUCAAAAACUCCCCGUUGGU